rnacentral:rRNA from 1 species
UACGAAGGGGGCUAGCGUUGCUCGGAAUCACUGGGCGUAAAGCGCGUGUAGGCGGUUCGGUAAGUCCGCUGUGAAAGUCGGGGGCUCAACCCUCGGAAGCCGGUGGAUACUGUCGAGCUAGAGUACGGAAGAGGCGAGUGGAAUUCCUGGUGUAGCGAUGAAAUGCGCAGAUAUCAGGAGGAACACCAAUUGCGAAGGCAGCUCGCUGGGACGUUACUGACGCUGAGACGCGAAAGCGUGGGGAGCAAACAGG